rnacentral:rRNA from 1 species
CGGACGGGUGAGUAACGCGUGAGAAUCUGCCUUUAGGACGGGGACAACAGUUGGAAACGGCUGCUAAAACCCGAUGUGCCUUCGGGUGAAAUAUUUAUAGCCUGAAGAUGAGCUCGCGUCUGAUUAGCUAGUAGGUGCGGUAAUGGCGUACCUAGGCGACGAUCAGUAACUGGUCUGAGAGGAUGACCAGUCACACUGGGACUGAGACACGGCCCAG